rnacentral:rRNA from 1 species
ACUGAGCGGCGGACGGGUGAGUAACGCGUGGGUAACCUGCCUCAUACAGGGGGAUAACAGUUGGAAACGGCUGCUAAUACCGCAUAAGCGCACAGUACCGCAUGGUACGGUGUGAAAAACUCCGGUGGUAUGAGAUGGACCCGCGUCUGAUUAGGUAGUUGGUGGGGUAACGGCCUACCAAGCCGACGAUCAGUAGCCGACCUGGGAGGGUGACCGGCCACAUUGGGACUGAGACACGGCCCAA